CCUGCCUCCGGGCCGGCAGGGCGCAGGGCGAGGGGGAGCGCACCCCGACUUCCCUGGAUCACAUGGGCUGCGGGGGGCGGGUGGAUCGGGGGAGGGGAGGCGCGGGGAGCUUGCUGCGGCUCCUCACCCGGACCGGGGAGAAGACGCCCCCCACCCUCUCUAGUUCGCCCUCUCCAUUCAAGUUUGCCGGCCCCUGCCGCCGAGAUCCGGAGAUGGCACCAGCCGCCCGCCCUGCGCUGUGCCCUGUUUCCAGCCACGGCUCAGAAAUUUAGGUCAAGGACGUCGGGAGCAAACCCACACCCCGGCGCUUCUCUGGCGGCCCCCGAGACCCCCCAGGAUCGGGGGGCUUCAGGAUAGCGGAGACCCUCCUGCACAAACACCAGCCACAAGUUUUAUUUUCCUUUUGCGCUGGAAGUUCUCUCUGGCUCUCGCUCCACACCGGCACGUCUUGCGCGGUUCCCCGCCCUUCCCCAGUAGAGGAUUAGGAGACAAAGGAAGACACUCACCACCAAAACUGUACCAAAUCCACUGUGGGUUUUGGAAAAAUGGAAUAUUUGGAAAAUCUCAACACCAGCCAUAUCCUUCAGUGACCAGACCCUCAAUCUCCCCGUUCCCUGAAUUGCAGUAAUUCCUCCUUGACAGGAUUGAUGGGGUGAAGCUCACUCAAUGUAGCCCCUGCCUCAGGAGAAUACAAGCAGCAUAAUAUCAGUCCUCAACCCUCUGAAAGUCUCAACAGCCCAAGACAAUGUUGGACACUUCCUUCUUCAAACUCAAUCUUCCAGGAUGGGUUUAAACACAUGUUGAUGCCACUCAAAUUGAAAUCUCCAGCCUCACCCUUCCUGAAGAGCUCCAGGCUCUGGGAAUUGUCUGGAAACUCCAUGGAACAAGGCCUCAUCUGUUUCACCCUUUACCGUACCUCCAGCACCUAGAACAAUGCCAACACGUGGUAGGAGAUCAACA